GCUGCCUAUUCAUGUACCUGGCACACAACUGUUGUUCAACAAAUACUUGCAGAAUCACAGGAUUAAUAGCAGAUGCACUGCAGUCCUCCUGGCUCCUGCACUUGCCACAGGAGAAUGGCAGUACUUUGGAGGUUGCCCAUCUCCUGUGGGCUCCAGAAACCUCAGGUCUGUGAGAGUUUUGGCAAGUGGAAGGUGGAUGGCAGUGAUGUGUGUCAUUUCCAGGCCUGGCAACCUAAAUACCUCCUCUGUGCAUUCCACGGUGGCUCAUUCUUGCCUUGUUGGCCAGCCAGAUGCAGAAGAUCCAGCAUAGAGUUCCAAAGCCUCCAGGAUUCCAAGGCAUCUAGGAGAUAGAGGAGCAACUAAAUGCAGGGUGCCUGGGCCCCUGGAGGACUGCAUGGAGCAGAACAACUCUUCCUCAUCCCCCCUUUCUGCUGAUUCCGUGUGGUCUGUGAUGAAAUGCCUGAGGAGGUGCCACUCCUGCGGGGCUGUUUUGAAGGGGCUGGAAGUCUUUUCUGUCACCACCUUUACCUACCUGUCAUCUGUGAACGUGACUGGAGAUGCCAAGGCUUUCCUCGACUUCUGCCACUGCCCAUGGUUCAUGGCCCUCUCACCCUGCUCCUCUUGUAAGCAGUGCCAGCAACUUGACAUUCUGAGUGAAGCCUUGCUAGGGCCCAUCCAGCACUUCUAAUGGUGCUGUCAACUGGAGUCUUGUUCGUCCUUGCCCUCAGUGAAGGCCACUUUGCAUGUGGACCCUGACGCUGGACACAUGAUGGUCAGCUCCAGUAGGCUUUGGCCUGUCAACUCAUCCCAGGAGGCCGGGGGUGUCCAUCUGGGAUUGUGGUAUUGUCUCUGUCUCAGCAUGAUCAGCACAUGCCUCCUGGGGGAUUAGCCAUCACUCUUCCUUAGUGCUAUGGUCAGUCCAGCUGGGAGGCUAUUGCUGGAGCAGUAUAUGCCAGGGGCCCCAGGUAGCCCUAACCACUGCUAAGAACUGGGUUGAGUCCCCUCAACAUCUGUAAGUUAAAACCCUAACCCCCUGGCUGGGCGCGGUGGCUCACAUCUGUAAUCC